rnacentral:rRNA from 1 species
CCCUUAGAUGUUCUGGGCCGCACGCGCGCUACAAUGAUGAAUUCAACGAGUUUAUAACCUUGGUUGAAAAGCCUGGGUAAUCUUUUGAACUUUCGUCGUGAUGGGGCUAGACCCUUGCAAUUAUUGGUCUCCAACGAGGAAUUCCUAGUAAACGCAAGUCAUCAGCUUGCAUUGAUUACGUCCCUGCCCUUUGUACACACCGCCCGUCGCACCUACCGAUUGAAUGGUCCGGUGAAAUCUUCGGAUUGAGACUUUGAUUUCUUCACGGAAAACGCUGUUUUAAAAAGUUGAUUAAACCUUACCAUUUAGAGGAAGGUGAAGGCGUAACA